rnacentral:rRNA from 1 species
AUUGAACGCUGGCGGCAUGCCUUACACAUGCAAGUCGAACGGUAACAGGUCUUCGGAUGCUGACGAGUGGCGCACGGGUGAGUAAUACAUCGGAACGUGCCCGAUCGUGGGGGAUAACGAGGCGAAAGCUUUGCUAAUACCGCAUACGAUCUACGGAUGAAAGCGGGGGAUCUUCGGACCUCGCGCGGGCGGAGCGGCCGAUGGCGGAUUAGGUAGUUGGUGGGAUAAAAGCUUACCAAGCCGACGAUCUGUAGCUGGUCUGAUAGGAUGAUCAGCCACACGGGGACUGAGACACGGCCCUGACUCCUACGGUAGGCAGCAGUGGGGAAUUUUGGACAAUAGGCGAAAGCCUGAUCCAGCCAUGCCGCGUGCAGGAUGAAGGCCUUCGGGUUGUAAACUGCUUUUGUACGGAACGAAAAGCCUCUUUCUAAUAAAGAGGGGUCAUGACGGUACCGUAAGAAUAAGCACCGGCUAACUACGUG